GAUGAACGCUGGCGGCGUGCCUAAUACAUGCAAGUCGAGCGAACGGACGAGAAGCUUGCUUCUCUGAUGUUAGCGGCGGACGGGUGAGUAACACGUGGAUAACCUACCUAUAAGACUGGGAUAACUUCGGGAAACCGGAGCUAAUACCGGAUAAUAUUUUGAACCGCAUGGUUCAAAAGUGAAAGACGGUCUUGCUGUCACUUAUAGAUGGAUCCGCGCUGCAUUAGCUAGUUGGUAAGGUAACGGCUUACCAAGGCAACGAUGCAUAGCCGACCUGAGAGGGUGAUCGGCCACAUUGGAACUGAGACACGGUCCAGACUCCUACGGGAGGCAGCAGUAGGGAAUCUUCCGCAAUGGGCGAAAGCCUGACGGAGCAACGCCGCGUGAGUGAUGAAGGUCUUCGGAUCGUAAAACUCUGUUAUUAGGGACGAACAUAUGUGUAAGUAACUGUGCACAUCUUGACGGUACCUAAUCAGAAAGCCACGGCUAACUACGUG
rnacentral:rRNA from 1 species